ACAUGCCCACACCAGUGGCUUUGUGAAGCAGAGCACCAGCAGUGACAGUCCCACCAGAACCACAUGGAAUAGAAAACCGUGCAUUUCCCUAAGGAAAGGGAAUGCCAGAGAAGGGCACAAGGGAAAUCAGGAAGACAAAACAUGUCUUCAUGUUGGAGUGGACCUUUCCUCUAUCUGUCAACAGAAUGGAUAAAUUGUGGAAUAGUCAUAUCAGAAUACUACACAUCAGUAAAAAACAACAAACUUCUGCUACAAACAAUCACAUCGAUGAAUCUUGCAGACAAAAUGGCAAAGAAAAGUAUUGGUCUUCCAAAACAAAUAGAGGACGGAGCUGCUGCUGUUGCAUGGUCUCUAGAAACUCAGACAACUUCAUCAUUCCAUAUUUGCAUCCAAGAGAGAGAAAGAAAAACUACAAUCAUUUUCCACUUACCCAUCAACCCAUCAACCUCCAAAUAAAGGCUAUUAAAAAACAAUCAAAGUGUGAAGAGGGCAGAAAAUGUGAUGAAGAGAUUCUUUGGAGAAAGCAGCUGC
rnacentral:lncRNA from 1 species